rnacentral:rRNA from 1 species
GACGAGGGAUCCUAGCGUUGUUCGGAAUUAUUGGGCGUAAAGCGGGUGUAGGCGGACUGAUAAGUCAGGUGUGAAAUCCCAGGGCUCAACCCUGGAAGUGCACUUGAUACUGCCAGUCUUGAAUGUGGUAGAGGUUACUGGAAUUCCUGGUGUAGUGGUGAAAUACGUAGAUAUCAGGAGGAACACCGGAGGCGAAGGCGGGUAACUGGGCCAACAUUGACGCUGAGACCCGAAAGCGUGGGGAUCAAACAGG